UGGGGAAUAUUGCACAAUGGGCGCAAGCCUGAUGCAGCAACGCCGCGUGAGUGAUGAAGGCCUUCGGGUUGUAAAACUCUGUCCUAUGGGAAGAAACAAAUGACGGUACCAUAGGAGAUUCCAC
rnacentral:rRNA from 1 species